rnacentral:rRNA from 1 species
AGUGAACGCUGGCGGUAUGCCUAACACAUGCAAGUCGAACGGCAGCACAGUAAGAGCUUGCUCUUACGGUUGGCGAGUGGCGGACGGGUGAGGAAUACAUCGGAAUCUACUUUUUCGUGGGGGAUAACGUAGGGGAACUUACGCUAAUACCGCAUACUACCUACGGGUGAAAGCAGGGGAUCUUCGGACCUUGCGCGAUUGAAUGAGCCGAUGUCGGAUUAGCUAGUUGGCGGGGUAAAGGCCGACCAAGGCGACGAUCCGUAGCGGGUCGGAGAGGAUGAUCAGCCACACUGGAACUGAGACACGGUCCAGACUCCUACGGGAGGCCGCAGUGGGGAAUAUUGGACAAUGGGCGCAAGCCUGAUCCAGCCAUACCGCGUUGGUGAAGCAGGCCUUCGGGUUGUAAAGCCCUUUUGUUGGGAAAGAAAAGCAGCAGGUUAAUACCCCGCUGUUCUGACGGUACCCAAAGAAUAAGCACCGGCUAACUUCGUG